GAUGAACGCUAGCGACAGGCCUAACACAUGCAAGUCGAGGGGCAUCGCGGUGUAGCAAUACACUGGCGGCGACCGGCGGACGGGUGAGUAACACGUAUGCAACCUGCCUACUACUGGGGGAUAGCCCUAAGAAAUUGGGAUUAAUACCGCAUAAAACAGGGGUUCCGCAUGGGAAUAUUUGUUAAAGAGUUAUCGGUAGUAGAUGGGCAUGCGCUCCAUUAGCUUGUUGGCAGGGUAACGGCCUACCAAGGCGUCGAUGGAUAGGGGCACUGAGAGGUUUGUCCCCCACACUGGGACUGAGACACGGCCCAGACUCCUACGGGAGGCAGCAGUGAGGAAUAUUGGUCAAUGGGCGAGAGCCUGAACCAGCCAAGUCGCGUGAAGGAUGAAGGGUCUAUGGCUUGUAAACUUCUUUCGUACCAGAGUAAAUGUCGGGACGUGUCCCGAUUUGCAAGUAUGGUACGAAUAAGCAUCGGCUAACUCCGUGCCAGCAGCCGCGGUAAUACGGAGGAUGCGAGCGUUAUCCGGAUUUAUUGGGUUUAAAGGGUGCGUAGGCGGGAGAAUAAGUCAGCGGUGAAAGCUACAGGCUCAACCUGUAAACUGCCGUUGAAACUGUUCUUCUUGAGAAUGGAUGGAGCAGGCGGAACUAGUGGUGUAGCGGUGAAAUGCUUAGAUAUCACUAAGAACUCCGAUAGCGCAGGCAGCUUGCUAAGGCAUAUCUGACGCUCAAGCACGAAAGUGUGGGUAUCAAACAGGGAUUAGAUACCCUGGUAGUCCACACAGUAAACGAUGAUUACUCGUUGUUUGCGAUAUACUGCAAGUAACCAAGCGAAAGCGAUAAGUAAUCCACCUGGGGAGUACGCCGGCAACGGUGAAACUCAAAGGAAUUGACGGGGGCCCGCACAAGCGGAGGAACAUGUGGUUUAAUUCGAUGAUACGCGAGGAACCUUACCCGGGCUUGAAUGCAGAGGAAUGGCGGGGAAACCCGCCAGUCAGCAAUGACCUCUGUGUAGGUGCUGCAUGGUUGUCGUCAGCUCGUGCCGUGAGGUGUCGGCUUAAGUGCCAUAACGAGCGCAACCCACAUCGGAAGUUACUAACAGGUAAGGCUGAGGACUCUGCCGAGACUGCCGGCGUAAGCUGCGAGGAAGGUGUGGAUGACGUCAAAUCAGCACGGCCCUUACGUCCGGGGCGACACACGUGUUACAAUGGCCGGUACAGCGGACAGCCACCAAGCGAUUGGGAGCUAAUCCCGAAAACCGGUCCCAGUUCGGAUUGGAGUCUGCAACUCGACUCCAUGAAGCUGGAUUCGCUAGUAAUCGCGCAUCAGCCAUGGCGCGGUGAAUACGUUCCCGGGCCUUGUACACACCGCCCGUCAAGCCAUGGGAGCCGGGGGUGCCUGAAACACGUAACCGAUGAGGGGCGUUCUAGGGUAAUACUGGUGACUGGGGC
rnacentral:rRNA from 1 species